rnacentral:lncRNA from 1 species
UUAAGCCUUUUAAUUUCUGUUUUUCAAAAAGUCAACUCAUAUUGCGAGAGGUGAGUUGAGCCUUUUAAUAUCUAUUUUUAAAGAGUCAAUUCAUAUUGCGAGAAAUGAGUUGAGCUCAAGAUCACAUGCCGAGCAAGAAUAAAGAUUGAAGCUGAUGAAAGACACCAUUUGGCCUCCUUGAAGUUGCAGUAAAGUAGGUCAAAGUUACAAGUCUCGUCCCCCUGAAGUUGCAGUAGAGCUGAUCGAAGAUAUCAAAGCUUGCCUUUUUAGAGUUACAGAAGAGAAGAUCACAAACCCUAUCUCACUGAAGCGAUAGAAGAGCAGAUUGAAGCUGUAGACCUCAUCUUUCUGAAGCUGCAUGGAAGCAGAUCAAAGCUACAAAUCUCAUAUCUUUGAAGUUACAUUGAAGUAGAUUGAAGCUACAAAGCAUAUAUCAGAAGAUGCAAUGGACCAAAGCUACAAGAUACGAUGGACUGGAAGAAGACUAUUUGAACAAGAAGAACACCAAUGAAGUCAAGACUCAGCAAGACUAGGCAAAAUUGACCUUUCAUUAUGUCUUUGCUCCAUUCCCGUUGCACGACAAUGAGCAAAGAGGGGCAGCUGUACAGGCCAAUUUUGGACCCAAUACAACAAAACAUUAACCCAACCUCAACUCAUUUACAUCAGACCCAAUAACCCCCAAACCUUAACCCAAAUCAAACCCAUUCCCAAUACAUUACCCAAAUCAUUAAGCCCAUUAUCCAAACCCUACCCAAUCAGCUACCCGGAGCCCAAUGUUACCCACAAGCCCGUUUGCAAUAUUCAGCCCCAACCCACCUAAACCCAAAUCUACCUAUAACCUAAACACUCAACCCCAAGCCCAGAAGCCCAAUUUUAGACAUUAAGGUUUCAGUUUCUGAAACCCUAAACCUGCCUAGCGCCGCACCACCCCCACCAACCCUCUGACGGCCCCAUGCCCUCUGACGUUGCCUCAACAACCGCUCCACCGUCCUCCAUAUUGCACCAUCCCCUGCAAGCAUUAAAAGAGAAUAGACAGCAAGCAAGAAGAGAGCAGUAUAUAAUCAAAACAUACAAUGUAAAAAGGGGGUUCCUUUUUUCGUCAGUUUUGAAAACAAAAAGAAAUAAGAACAAACCAUUUUAAAUAUUAAGCAACAAUAGCAUUUCCCUCAGUACUUAGACACAAAAAAAUAGCAACCAAGCAAAAAGAACAUCUCAGAUCAAAGAAACAGAAACUAAAACCGAAAGGUGAUUAUUUUUUUCCUAUUUCUAUUUCAUUUUUUUAACCUGUUUUAAUCUACCAUACAUAUUAAAAUAUAAUAAGAUAAUAAAAAAAUAACAAAAAAUGAACCUUUUUGAACUUUCGACCACCGUGUACGGUGGCCGGAGCCGGUGCCGGCGUCGACGAGCCUCCAAUGACCGUCCGGUGACCGGUUUCCCCACCGAAAAUCACCCCGUGCUCCCCUCUCCCUCAUUUUUUUUUCUUUUCCCUGUCCAAAUGUUUUUUUUUUCAGAUUUUUAGGCUAUUUAUAGCCUACCAAAACGGCACCGUUUUGGUACCAAAAUGGCACCGUUUUGGUGCCCAAACUUAGACUAAAAAAUGACGUCGUUUUACUUGGCCCGACCCGAUUCGACCCGAACCCGCUUCAGGAUCCGCGUGUUUUUAACUCAAUGGGAUAUUUGUGCAAUCGGUCCUUCCGCAUUUUUGUGUUUUAAAUCAAGUUUAUAUUUAUUUAUAAAUCGGCCCUAAAAUUUAAUCUGAUUUGCGAUCUAGUCCCUCCGUGCUGCACAGCGUUUUGGUGAAAGGGAAUAUUUGCUGUUUUAACCCUCCUAAGUUAUGCGCGCGUGGCAUUUUGGUCCUUCCCUGCUAUUUUAUUUCUAAUUUCGCCCCAAAAUGUUGUUUUAAGUUCAAUUUAGUCCUUUGGUUAAUUUACUGCUUUAUUUUUAAUUUACUUGUUUUCAUUUUCUGUAUUUUAUUUGUUAUAAUAUUUAUAUUUGUUAUAUUAAAUGUAUUUAUUAUAUGUCUUUUAAAUAUUAUGUUAUAUAUAUGUAUUUUCAAUAUUGUUGUUAUAUUUAUUAUUAUUAUAUAUAUUUGUUCUAGUAUAUAUGUAUAUAUUUACACGUAUAGGUUUAUUUUUAUUUCAAUAUCUUUAUUAUAUUUGUUUUUGGUAUUUUAAUAAUAUUGUUAUAUUAUUAUAAUAGUGUAUACUUUUAUUUAUGUACAUAGAUUUAUAUAUAUGAUGUAUUUUUGUUAUAUUAUAUUGUAUUUUAAUAUCGUUACUAUUAUAAUUGCUAACAUAGUGAAUGCCUUGUUAUAUAUGUAUAUGUUUUUAUGUCAUCAUUGUUGAUUAUCAUUAACUUUAAUAUGUGUCUCAUUAUAUGUCCUUAAAUAUACAUAUAGAUAUAUAUACAUGCAAUAUUAUAAUAGUUUUCUUUGACAUCAUUAUCUCCAAUAUAUGUAUAUGUUAUGUAAAUAUUUUAAUGUCAUAUUAUAUAUACAUUUUUACACUAUGCAUACAUACUUUUAACAUUAUAUUUUAUAUGUAUACUCUUAACAUCAUAUUAUAUAUAUCUUGCACAAAAUUUUUAAUACUUUACUAUAUAUAUACCUUUAUAUAUUAUAUGUAUAUUUUAGUAUUGUGUUUUUAUAUCUAUGUUUUAAUACCAUACUAUAUAUAUUAUUAUAUUUUAUUACAUAAUUAGUACCCAUGUUUUAUUAUACAUAUAUAUACUCUUUUAUUUGUGUUAUUUUCGUAUGUCAUAUUAUUCAUUUUUAUACUCAUUAUUUUCAUUAUUGCCACUUAUAUAUUAUUAUUUGGUGUACAUACAUCUUUUAUUAUUAUUAGUAUAUAAAUGUAUUUUCCUUGUCUAUAUUGUUCCUAAUAUAUAUUGCACAUGUUCAUUCAUACUAUGUGUACAUGUAUCUAGUAUAUAUAUAUUUAGUAUUAUUACACAUAUCUUUUAGGCAUUAUACUUUCAUGCGUCAUGUAUAUAUGUCAUGUAUUAUAUUUUUGCAUAUUAUCUUAUGUACAUAUUAUCUUAUAUUAUUAUUACUAAGUGUAUUUUAUAUUUGUUCAUGACUUGUUUAUUAUUACUAUUAUUUCUUUUGUAAAUAUCAUUGUUAUUGUUUUUCUAAUGCUCUAGUGUUCAUAUUAAUAUUUUUCAUUAAUAAUGUCAUUAUUUGCAUCGUUGAUUUACUUAAAAUUCUCACUUUAUAAAUAUCUUUCCCAUGUUUUAAUCAAUUUCAAUAAUCAAGGCAAUGUAUCGAUUUAACAUUAAGUCGUAAGUUUCAUCGCUAUGUUGGAUGAAAUUUAUCAGCUCGUGUUAAAAUGGUAUACCCUUCUCAAAAACUGAAAAAACUAAAACUAAAACUUCUCGUCUUUGCAAUCGAAUCACGACUAAAUGUUGCAUUGAAUUCGUAUUUUUGAAAAUCAAGACAACACAUGUUUAUACGAUACCAAUUUUGGGCGUCGUGAGGGUGCUAAUACCUUCCUCGCGCGUAACUGACUCCCGAACCCUAAUUUUUCACUGGAUUUUAACGUAGACGUAAACUCGGCCUUCUUUUGUUUAAAAAAUAGAUCUAAUAGGUGUCCGAUCACACCUAUAAAAAAGGGAUCGGUGGCGACUCCUUGUUUAUUCUAAAAUAAAAUUUCAGUUUCCAAGUUUUCAAUAGAUCGCCACAAUUAGCGACCCCAAACUAAAAAUUUUUACGUCGCUACAAUGUGUUUCAUGUUUCAAUGUUAAGGCGCUACCACUCUGAUCCCAUGCACAUCGUCCCCGUUAAGGAGAUUGAGGUUAGGCCAGAUCUGACCUUUAAGGAGGAACUGGUUUAGAUUUUGGAUCGCGACGUUAAGAUUUUGAGAAGGAAAUUUAUUCCACUGGUUAAGGUUCUUUGUCGUAAUUAUAACAUUGAGGAGGCUACAUGGGAGCCUGAGGAUACUAUGCGUCAGUGAUAUCCUCAUCUAUUCUAAUCAGGUAAAUUUCGAGGCCGAAAUUUUCUUUUAAGGGGUAGAGUUGUAAUGCCUAGAAAAUCUCAUAUUUAUGUCCUGUUAAAAUAUGACACAACUGUGCAUCUGCUUCAGUGGUUAAGUGUUCUAGCUGUGUAUGUGAGGUCCCUAGUUCAAGUCAUGGUUUGGGCAAAAAUUUGUUUUUCUUCUAAAUCAAGCCCUAUCUCUGGUCGUAGGUAAUUCCAUAAUAAAAUGGGCCUACUGGUCUGCAAGCUAGGGUGUGUGUUGGCAGGUAGGAGGUUUGGAGUUCAAGUCCUUGUGUGAACAAGGAUAUUAUUUUUUGUGUGAUCAAUUUUCCUAUUUCCCCAAAAUUUUCUUUUCUUUCUGACCUCAGAAUCCUUUCCUUACUUUCUCUCUACCGAAUUUUGCUUUUUGCUCCACCUCUUUGUUUAGUUUUUCUUUUGGUUUUCAGUCUGAUCAGUGAUUGAAGGCGUGUUUUGUAAGUAUAUUUUUGUCCCUAUUUUAUCGUUGCGUGGCUAGUUGUUUUAAAAGGAUUUUGGUUUGCUGUUGGUAAAUAUUUAGAGUACGUUUUUGAUCUUCUAACGGUUCAAUUAUUAAAUAUUUUGGUUUAGUGUUUGCUUGUAUUACUAAAGUUGGACCUUGGUAAUGUCAAUCAUAGGGUCUAGAAUACGAGAUUGUGUUUUGAGAGCGAAAACGAACCAGGUGUGUACUCGAAACUGUAAAAAAAUGAGGUUUUGACGAAAGCCAAAAACCAUUCUAUCGACGCCACAUGGGAGUGUGGUCACCCGUGUGGUAGGCCGUGUGAUAGAACAAGGGCGUGUGAUCGAGGAGCCAGGCUGCGCACAUUAGACACUGCCGUAUGAUGGCUAGGUGGGCCGUGUACGACACAAGAGCUUAACCAACUUGGGCCGUGUGAGCUACACGAGCGUGUGGGAAUUUGAGCCAGGCCGUGUGAUCACAUGGCCAAGGCCAAUCUCUGCCGUGUGGGCUACACGGGCAUGUGGGCCCAUACGGGCAAGCCAAAUGGGCGUGUAAGCCCAUUUUACUGAAAUGUUUCCUAAAGUUGCAUGGGUCGCCCAAGUCGAUUAUGAACCUGUUGUAGGGUCGGUAAGAACUACUUAGACCCCUAGCUGACUGAAAUGACUGUUUGGCUGACGUAUAUAUAUUUACAUGUUAUCGAGGAUGAUGAUAUUUAAUGAAUUGAUAUUGUAUGCACUGUUGCCAUGAUAUAGUAUAUUAUUAUUGUAUGUUGCAUUGCAUUGGGAUAGGGGUUGGUAUUGUUUGGAGGAAGUGUACUGAAAUGCCUCGGGCCUAAUUUACUGGCAGCUCAGCGCAAAUCACUGUUUAGUGCCGCAUUCAGUACUUUUGGGAGUGUAGUGAUGGGUGGGUUGAUUAUAUCCCCACAUGGAGUGUAGGGUUAGACGGAGAUGGUGUGUAGAGGCUGGCUGGGUAGGAUUUUGUGACUGCAUAUCUAUUAAUGCUACUGAUAUGUUGAUGGGCUAAGGCCCAAUUGCAUGACUAAUACUGUUACUGAAAAUGGCUUAGGCCCAUGCUGCAAUCUUGUGCAUAUUGUCUGUUUGUUUAUAUGGGGAUUACACACUGAAUUUACGUAAACUCACCUCUUUGGUUUAACCUAUCCAGGUAAUCCCCAGACUUGACGGAUCGGUGCAGCGGAGGACUCGAUGGUGGCACACGAUCUCUUGACACUGUUUCGCACUUAUUUAUGAUUUUAGGUUUUAUUUUGGUAUUUUAUUGUAAAUAUGGCCUCUAUGGAUUUUUAUUUUAGUUUGGGAUUUUUGUUGGUUUCGAUUUAUUACUGCUAGUAUUAGGAAAACUCAGGUUUUCAAAAGAAACAACGUUUCAACAAAAUACACACAAAUACGCAAAUUGUUUUAAAAGCUUCCACUUUGAAUAAACGUUUUGAAAACUUUCUACUGAUUAAAUAACACAAUUUUAGAGUUAAUAAGUAAUAAUGAAAAGUUUAUAAACGGAAAUUGUUUUAAGCAAAGUUACGUUUUUUUUAAAUACCCUACCAUGUGACAUCGCCUGAUCCGAUCAUAGUGUCCAAGCCGAGUUUGAGGUGUUACAAAUGUAACAUUUCCAUUAGAAUGAGUCUAAAAUAAGUUGUACUCUUUUCCUUUAACCAAUGUUUUUUCCCAUUGGAUUUUCCUGAUGAAGGUUUUUAAUGAGGCAGCUUGUAAUAGAAGACUGUGUACUCUUUUCCUUCAUUAGGUUUUUAUCCCACAGGGUUUUUCCUAAUAAGGUUUUAACGAGGCACAUUAUCUACCAAUGGGCAUCCAAGGGAGAGUGUUAUGAAUAUCUUAUUAAGUGGAUGUUCAUCAUGAUCAAGGUAAAGUUUUGGUAUACUUUAAAUUCUAAUAGUUAUUAGAAUUAGAUCUCUACUUCUUUUAUACUUCUUAUGCCUAUAAAUAGAGACUCUGAUGAAGACUGUAAUCAUCCCUUUGAUUAAUAAAGUACAUUCUUUAUUGCUUUCAUAUUUUUUUUAUUCUUUAUUCUCUCCAUCUUUCUUUAUUUUAUAACAAAUUUGAUUUUUUUUUAAAUUUAGUUAAUUUAUAUUUGUAAUUAAAUUUUUGUCUACAUAUAGCAACUAUUACUAAUUCAGCUUUAUUAUUGUCCAUUACAGUAAUGUUUUUUCUUCUAUUCACUUUAUUUAAACAUUUUAAUUAAAAUGUUUUUAGAAAAUUAGAAAUUAGACACUUCAAAUGACAUUAUUAGGUACAGUAAAUUUUUUUAUUAAAAUGUUUUUACUUUUUAUUUUACAUUGUUAGAUUUUAUUGUAUUUAUGAUUUAUAAGUUUGAUUUUUUAUAAUUACAUUAGCCACAUUGCCCCUAAUUUUUAUCAAAUACAAAAAGUUCAUUGAAUGAUAAGAAACUAAUUACAACUUCGAAUAUUUUAGGAAUACUUGUACAUUCUCUUUUAGCUCAAAUAAAGGAAUUGAUGUUUCAUUCUUAUCCUUAUGGAUAGGCUAAUAAAUAAAAAGAAAUAAAAAACAAUAUAUCAUUGAAAUUCUCAAUUUUUGAAGAGAUUUUUUUAUUUAUUUUACUUCGGAUGAGCCGAGACAAUAGGAUGAACAACAAGGGUUCUGUAUCGUGAACUUUGUAUCGCGCACAUCACUUAGAUGAACUCUAGAGAGUCGCAUAGAAGAGAAUGAAAAAAUGGAAUAGGAAAGGGGAUCGGAUUCUAUUUGUCCUGUAACUGAGAUGAGUCUUGGUUAUUUCUAUCCUUGAACUCCUCUAAAUCCGACUUUUUGUUGGGCAACAUGACAUAAUUAAAAAUUUAAAGUUUUCUCGCAUAUUAAUUUUUUUUCAUACAAAAAGUUUCAAAAAAAAAAAACAAGAUAACUUCUUAAAAAUAUACUUUAUUUAAGGUUUGUGUAAAAAUAAAAGACAAUUGUAAGCCUUACUAAACAUUUAGGCUAUUUUCAUCACUAAUUCUUCUAUUUAUUAUUUAUAAUAUAAAAACUUCCAAUUUAGACUAAUUAAAUAAGUAUAAUUCAAGGUUUCUGAAUUAUUAGAAUAAUUAGAACAGUGAUUUUUUCCUUCGUAUUAAUAAUUUAAUUUAGUUUAUUAGUUGAUAUUCUGAAGUUACUUUAAUAUAAUUUUAUAACUAUCAAUUCUUAAUAAUUUUCUUUCUUUUAAGAAAAUCUUUAUUUUAAUCUAUCAAAAUCAUGACCUCGUAUCGCUAUUCUAAUUAUUUGACGGAUUCUUGAAUAAAACUGGGUUCAGAUGAAUUUUUGACGGGUUUUUGAAUUUUCUAUCACCAAAUUUAUUGAGUCAAGAAUAAAAUAGAUGAAUAUAUUUAUAAGUUUUUUUAAAAAAAAGUCAAAGAAAUAAUAUUUAGCCAUUAUUUUUGGAUUUUUUUAAUUAAAAAUUGUCACCUGUCACAAAAUAAUUGGCCAAGAGAUUUUUUUUUUAACAACUGGGGUAAUUUGAGUAAUGCUGUACCAUUUUAUUGUUUAAAUCUUAAAAUUGUUAUUCAAAUUAUGAUGGUAAAGAUAAUUAUAUAAUUAUUUUUCUUACAUGAUGUCUAAAAACUAGUUAAAAUUUUGUGAAAGUUAAAAUACAUAAAUUAAUAAACUUUUUUUAAUGUUGAAUGUUUAAUAUAAAUGAAAUUAACAUAGAAAUACUUUUAACUCACAAAUAUCACAAUUCAAAUAUAUACAUUAUUUAAAAGUUAAACUUAACAUAUCAUUAAUAUAAAAACAAAACUCACCUAAACAUAUACGUGGCAGAUCCAACUACGGUGGAGGCAUGAGCUUGUCUUCAAGUUUUAAUUGUGGUAGAAGAGUUACGGUUCUAAAAACUGGUGGCUGAGGGGGAUUCUGAAAAAAGCAUAGUCACUAAAGGAGGAUAGAUCGAGCAUCGCCACUUUGAUUAGAGAAAUAAAGGAGAGAGAAAAGAGAUUUGAAUAGCUCAAUUUCAGAUCUGUACCUAGGUCGAUGAAUCGGGUGGCUCAUACUCUGGCAGAUGAAGGAAGGGCCUUGUCGUCUCUUAGGUAUUGGAUAGAAGAGGCAUCGACAAGGGUGGAGGAGGAAGUUGAUAGGGACCGAAGAGGUUUGUUGUGAAGGGACUGAAGGAAGAAAGUGGAUGGGGUAGAGGAAAUGGAAUCUUGGGGACUCCGACGGUUCAGAUCUACAAGGAUCCCUCGCAUUCUCAGUAAUUCAUCAAUCUGAUGGAAGCAAGACGAGGGAUUUCUAAUGUUACUCUGACUAAUGAACGAGUUCAUGAAGAAGAAGGUUGCGAUUUGGUUAGGAGUGUCGAUUCAGGUUUUAGGAUUUUUCUUUCUGAUUUUUGUUUUACUUUAGCUAUUUCCUUUAUUUUCUUUAAGUAGGGGCAACCACUGUUUGCGUUAACCAGUAGAAGAGUGACAAUUGUAAUACAUACACUCUAAACCUUUUUGUGAAAUGAAAUUCGUUAGUUUUUAUGUAAAAAAAAC